UAUUAGGUUGGUGCAAAAGUAAUUGUGGGUUUUGCCACUACUUCUAAUGGCAAAACCCACAAUUACUUCUGUACCA
ensembl:miRNA